rnacentral:rRNA from 1 species
GGAGAGAGGGGAGCUGGAGCAGGGGUAAACCAAAGGUGGGAAGCGGUAAUCGGAAUGACGGGUCGUAAAGGGCAGGUAGGGGGGUGGUUAAGUGGGAGGUGAAAGCCCGGGGCUGAACGUGGGAAUUGCAGUCAAGACUGCCUUGCUAGAGUGUGGAAGAGGGAAGCGGAAGUCCAGGUGUAGCGGUGAAAUGCGUAGAUAUCUGGAGGAACAUCAGUGGCGAAGGCGGCUUCCUGGUCCAACACUGACACUGAGGUGCGAAAGCGUGGGGAGCAAACAGGAUUAGAUACCCUAGUCGUC